UGUGUAGGUGGUUAGGCAAGUUAGAUGUGAAAGCCUACGGCUCAACCGUAGAACUGCAUUUAAAACUGCUUAACUUGAGGACAUGAGAGGAAAGGGGAAUUCUUGGUGUAAGGGUGAAAUCUGUAGAUAUCAAGAGGAACACCAGCGGCGAAGGCGCCUUUCUGGCAUGUAUCUGACACUGAGACACGAAAGCAUGGGGAGCAAACAGGAUUAGAUACCCUGGUAGUCC
rnacentral:rRNA from 1 species